GAGUUCUUGGCCUAGAGCAUUUCACCCCUC
rnacentral:piRNA from 1 species